AAAAUAAAAUUUAAAUGUACAGAAGCAAAUAUUAUAGCUCCUUGCAUAUUUAAUAAAAAGAUGGACUAAUCUAUCUCUGUAGAAAAUUAUGUGACAGAAAAACACUACGCAAAUUCGUGAAUAAAUGUUUUUCAGUCACUCAUUCAAUAUUUUUUUACAAUUGAACUCUUUAUUCUACAACUCUUAGAGCUAAAACAUCAAAAUCUAGGCGUCAUUUAUUUUUAUGCACUGCCUUCUUAAAAUGGAAAAUAUAUACAAGUAUGUCCAUCUGAACUCAAAAUAUUUUGUAAAUAUUGCAUUUUGCUUUAUUCCUUUUAUUUAAUAAUAUAACCCUAAGUUUAAUAAUAUCUUAUUGUUUAAUACAAAGGUUAACAUAAAUUGGUUUCUUCAUAUGGAAUAUCACUAUCCAAAUAAUACUUCAAAAACUAAAAAUAAAAAGACACAAUAAAAGCAUCUAUUACUUAAUGCCCGUUUUUUACUUCUGAACAUUAAAAUACAUCCCUUAUCUUAACUAAAAUGUCACAGCAUAACCAUUUCAUUUGGAAAAUUUUUACAUGAUAAUUUCAGCCCCAAUAUAAUCAACAUACUCUGAAACAUCCAAUUUCAGUAAAUGUAAAAAAUCUGAUGUUGAAUGGUUUUGUUGAGAUUCACCAAAAUUCAUUUGAAACGGAUAUGAUUCUUAUAGACUAGCACUGGUAUGUCAAAAGGACAUUUUUUUUCACACACAAAUUCUGGGCUAAAACGGUGCUGUGAUAACCAAGACUUAUAUAUAAUGACAAAUAUAACCUUUAAAAAACUAUGAAAUAAAGUUAAAGGAAUAAUUUUUGAUGAAUUCUUUAAAAUAUAGAUAGUAUUUUAAAGAGCUUAUCAAUGAUUGGAAUUAUUUUUGCAAAUCAAUAUGAUUGCAAGAAAAAGUUAAAAUAUUAAUAACUUGUACAAGUUUAUUUAAAAAAUAUGCCCUUCCAGACAAGACAAUUU
rnacentral:lncRNA from 1 species